ensembl:lncRNA AF4/FMR2 family member 1-like
GGGUGUGUGCUUUACUGCAUGAUAUCCGGACGAAUAAUUAUACGAAUUCAUGUUUAAUUAUUAAAAUUCUUAAUAAAGUCGUGAACAAAAGGAGCCUGUUGUUCAAUAUAAAGUCAAACCGUGUGUGCUUGACCCACUGAUCUGAAGCAUGUAGCAGCGGGUGACCCCCGCUCAGGAGUGGACUCGUCCGCGGAGCGCCGUUCUGCUCGCUUCAGGCAAACUGCGGUUUCUGGAAAUCAGCGGAUUUUCUAGAUUUGAAGAAAUGUGAUAAAUCAGCGGAUCGUGUCGUCAUGAGCGACCGACAAGCGACGCCUCACAGCGGGCAGUGCAGACCGAGAAUGAGCAGUGUACAGAUGGAGGAUCGCAACAUGUUGCGUCUGAUGGAGAGGGAGAGACGCAGUCAGGAGGUGCAGCUGGAGGAGACGCAGUAUGACAGAAUCGCUCCUCUCUUCAACAAGCCGUAUAAGAGAAUCAAAGAUGACGAGCUGUCGAGUCGCAUCCAGACGAUGCUGGGUAAUUAUGAGGAUGGAUAUGAUGGACCUGAGGACGCUGCGCUUCCUUACGAGCGCUCCACGCAGUUCCCUCAGGCGCAGUCAGGACACACGGAUCGCUCCAGAGCCGCCUCCGGCCCUGCUUCAGGAGAGAGCUGGGACAGUUUCCCAGCCCUGUCUCCUCUGCGGUCCAGCGACUCGGACACCGGCCCGUCUCCGGAGCGGCCUCCGCUGAACCUGCACAGUAAACUGGCGAAGGCCAAGAAACCCACAGCGUACGUGAGGCCGAUGGACGGUCCGGAUCAGGUGACCAGCGACUCUCCUGAACUGAAGGCCUCACUGGAGUCGUAUGAGCACUUACAGGACCUGAAGGAGAGCAGCAAACCAAACCUUGCCCCUCUGCAGGCUGCUGAUAUAGUGUCUGGAGCGCGUGUGGAGGACAUUCUGCAGGAAAUGACCUCAUGGCCUCCACUGCUGACGACCAUUUGCUCGCCAACCACAGCCGAGCCGCCCAAGGUCCUCUCCACUAACGAGGAGACACAUGGAUUACCGGCCCUCGGUAAGUGUGUGUGUGUGUGUGUAUGUUGUUGAAGUCUGUUUAUGUGCUUUUUAAGUUGUUGUGUUGUUCUUUACUAGAAGCUCAUGAAUCAUCAGACAAAGUUCAGCUGGAAUCUCAGUGAGUAUCAGAUCAGAUCUUUGUCUUGAGCUCAUGUGAAGGUGCUACAAAAAGGUCAAGAUGAAGAUUUCUCCCCUCUCUCUUCAGCUACUGUUUUAACUUUACUCUGUGUGUGUGUGUGUGUGUGUGUGUGUGUGUGUGUGCGCGCGCGCGCGUGCACCUGUGUGUGUGUGCACCUGUGUGUGUGUGCACCUGUGUGUGUGUG